GGCUGGGCAAGACCGGUGCCAGCCGCCGCGGUAACACCGGCAGCUCUAGUGGUAGCAGUUUUUAUUGGGCCUAAAGCGUCCGUAGCCGGUUUAAUAAGUCUCUGGUGAAAUCCUGUAGCUUAACUGUGGGAAUUGCUGGAGAUACUAUUAGACUUGAGACCGGGAGAGGUUAGAGGUACUCCCAGGGUAGAGGUGAAAUUCUGUAAUCCUGGGAGGACCGCCUGUUGCGAAGGCGUCUAACUGGAACGGUUCUGACGGUGAGGGACGAAAGUUAGGGGCGCGAACCGGAUUAGAUACCCGGGUAGUCCUAACUGUAAACGAUGCGGACUUGGUGUUGGGGUGGCUUUGAGCUGCUCCAGUGCCGAAGGGAAGCUGUUAAGUCCGCCGCCUGGGAAGUACGGUCGCAAGACUGAAACUUAA
rnacentral:rRNA from 1 species